rnacentral:rRNA from 1 species
UACAGAGGUCCCAAGCGUUGUUCGGAUUCACUGGGCGUAAAGGGCGCGGAGGCGGCUUAACAAGUCACUUGUGAAAUCUCCGGGCUUAACUCGGAACGGCCAAGUGAAACUGUCAAGCUAGAGUGCAGAAGGGGCAAUCGGAAUUCCUGGUGUAGCGGUGAAAUGCGCAGAUAUCAGGAAGAACACCCGUGGCUAAGGCGGCUCUCUAGUACGGUACUGACGCUGAGACGCGAAAGCGUGGGGAGCGAACAGG